rnacentral:lncRNA from 1 species
GGGGCAACUCCUCUAGGUUGAGCAGAGCGCCUAUGAUGGCCAGACGUGCUCGAGGUGCCCUUUUUAUAGCCCAUCCAUGGCGGUUCCGCGGUGGUCCUGGGAUAAAAAUGUCGGCUGGCAAUGCUCAAACAACAGGGGCGGCCGCAAGGCAUAGUCGGGGUGGCACCAAGGCUCAUCAGCAGCAGGCGGUGCUGGGAAACAACGCAG